AAGCACUGCGCAGGGAAUGCGGCUCGGAUGUGUGCGGCAAUAAAUGCCAUUUAAAAAAAUUUAAACCACGGCCAAACCAGUUUAUACUGCACAAUCUUCACCACAAGGCAGCGGAAAUACAGUGGGAGUUGCUGACAUCCCAUGAUCAAGUUAGGAAGUCUAUGAAGUUCCUAUAUUAGAUUGUGAGGUGUGUUCUCAUUGGAGAGAUGUGAUAUGGACCAACCACAACAGUCAGGGUGGAAAGGUAAUGUGGAUGAACAUAAAGAAGAUAAAUGGGAAGUGGCAAAGGUGUACAUGACAGGCGGUCAUAAGAACCAUAAAUCAAUUGGUCAGUUUGACAUUGUUGCGCUUCUGUCUCUCAUGACUCAAUGCAAUCACUUCAAGAAGUUUAAGCUGGGUGGAUUGUGUGAGCAGGUUGCCAAUGUCCGAAACAAUAUCAUGCAUUCUCCAAAUUACCAGCUGAAACGAGAGGAAUUGAAUGGAUACCUUAGUCGAAUCAGAGAUCUGGGUGAGGUGCUGGCAAAACAUGAUCCUGUGUUCAAAUACCUGUCUGGAG